GGGUUGUGAGGUUAAGCGACUAAGCGUACACGGUGGAUGCCCUGGCAGUCAGAGGCGAUGAAGGACGUGCUAAUCUGCGAUAAGCGUCGGUAAGGUGAUAUGAACCGUUAUAACCGGCGAUUUCCGAAUGGGGAAACCCAGUGUGUUUCGACACACUAUCAUUAACUGAAUCCAUAGGUUAAUGAGGCGAACCGGGGGAACUGAAACAUCUAAGUACCCCGAGGAAAAGAAAUCAACCGAGAUUUCCCCAGUAGCGGCGAGCGAACGGGGAGCAGCCCAGAGCCUGAAUCAGUGUGUGUGUUAGUGGAAGCGUCUGGAAAGGCGCGCGAUACAGGGUGACAGCCCCGUACACAAAAAUGCACAUGCUGUGAGCUCGAUGAGUAGGGCGGGACACGUGGUAUCCUGUCUGAAUAUGGGGGGACCAUCCUCCAAGGCUAAAUACUCCUGACUGACCGAUAGUGAACCAGUACCGUGAGGGAAAGGCGAAAAGAACCCCGGCGAGGGGAGUGAAAAAGAACCUGAAACCGUGUACGUACAAGCAGUGGGAGCACGCUUAGGCGUGUGACUGCGUACCUUUUGUAUAAUGGGUCAGCGACUUAUAUUCUGUAGCAAGGUUAACCGAAUAGGGGAGCCGAAGGGAAACCGAGUCUUAACUGGGCGUUAAGUUGCAGGGUAUAGACCCGAAACCCGGUGAUCUAGCCAUGGGCAGGUUGAAGGUUGGGUAACACUAACUGGAGGACCGAACCGACUAAUGUUGAAAAAUUAGCGGAUGACUUGUGGCUGGGGGUGAAAGGCCAAUCAAACCGGGAGAUAGCUGGUUCUCCCCGAAAGCUAUUUAGGUAGCGCCUCGUGAAUUCAUCUCCGGGGGUAGAGCACUGUUUCGGCAAGGGGGUCAUCCCGACUUACCAACCCGAUGCAAACUGCGAAUACCGGAGAAUGUUAUCACGGGAGACACACGGCGGGUGCUAACGUCCGUCGUGAAGAGGGAAACAACCCAGACCGCCAGCUAAGGUCCCAAAGUCAUGGUUAAGUGGGAAACGAUGUGGGAAGGCCCAGACAGCCAGGAUGUUGGCUUAGAAGCAGCCAUCAUUUAAAGAAAGCGUAAUAGCUCACUGGUCGAGUCGGCCUGCGCGGAAGAUGUAACGGGGCUAAACCAUGCACCGAAGCUGCGGCAGCGACACUAUGUGUUGUUGGGUAGGGGAGCGUUCUGUAAGCCUGUGAAGGUGUGCUGUGAGGCAUGCUGGAGGUAUCAGAAGUGCGAAUGCUGACAUAAGUAACGAUAAAGCGGGUGAAAAGCCCGCUCGCCGGAAGACCAAGGGUUCCUGUCCAACGUUAAUCGGGGCAGGGUGAGUCGACCCCUAAGGCGAGGCCGAAAGGCGUAGUCGAUGGGAAACAGGUUAAUAUUCCUGUACUUGGUGUUACUGCGAAGGGGGGACGGAGAAGGCUAUGUUGGCCGGGCGACGGUUGUCCCGGUUUAAGCGUGUAGGCUGGUUUUCCAGGCAAAUCCGGAAAAUCAAGGCUGAGGCGUGAUGACGAGGCACUACGGUGCUGAAGCAACAAAUGCCCUGCUUCCAGGAAAAGCCUCUAAGCAUCAGGUAACAUCAAAUCGUACCCCAAACCGACACAGGUGGUCAGGUAGAGAAUACCAAGGCGCUUGAGAGAACUCGGGUGAAGGAACUAGGCAAAAUGGUGCCGUAACUUCGGGAGAAGGCACGCUGAUAUGUAGGUGAGGUCCCUCGCGGAUGGAGCUGAAAUCAGUCGAAGAUACCAGCUGGCUGCAACUGUUUAUUAAAAACACAGCACUGUGCAAACACGAAAGUGGACGUAUACGGUGUGACGCCUGCCCGGUGCCGGAAGGUUAAUUGAUGGGGUUAGCGCAAGCGAAGCUCUUGAUCGAAGCCCCGGUAAACGGCGGCCGUAACUAUAACGGUCCUAAGGUAGCGAAAUUCCUUGUCGGGUAAGUUCCGACCUGCACGAAUGGCGUAAUGAUGGCCAGGCUGUCUCCACCCGAGACUCAGUGAAAUUGAACUCGCUGUGAAGAUGCAGUGUACCCGCGGCAAGACGGAAAGACCCCGUGAACCUUUACUAUAGCUUGACACUGAACAUUGAGCCUUGAUGUGUAGGAUAGGUGGGAGGCUUAGAAGUGUGGACGCCAGUCUGCAUGGAGCCGACCUUGAAAUACCACCCUUUAAUGUUUGAUGUUCUAACGUUGACCCGUAAUCCGGGUUGCGGACAGUGUCUGGUGGGUAGUUUGACUGGGGCGGUCUCCUCCUAAAGAGUAACGGAGGAGCACGAAGGUUGGCUAAUCCUGGUCGGACAUCAGGAGGUUAGUGCAAUGGCAUAAGCCAGCUUGACUGCGAGCGUGACGGCGCGAGCAGGUGCGAAAGCAGGUCAUAGUGAUCCGGUGGUUCUGAAUGGAAGGGCCAUCGCUCAACGGAUAAAAGGUACUCCGGGGAUAACAGGCUGAUACCGCCCAAGAGUUCAUAUCGACGGCGGUGUUUGGCACCUCGAUGUCGGCUCAUCACAUCCUGGGGCUGAAGUAGGUCCCAAGGGUAUGGCUGUUCGCCAUUUAAAGUGGUACGCGAGCUGGGUUUAGAACGUCGUGAGACAGUUCGGUCCCUAUCUGCCGUGGGCGCUGGAGAACUGAGGGGGGCUGCUCCUAGUACGAGAGGACCGGAGUGGACGCAUCACUGGUGUUCGGGUUGUCAUGCCAAUGGCACUGCCCGGUAGCUAAAUGCGGAAGAGAUAAGUGCUGAAAGCAUCUAAGCACGAAACUUGCCCCGAGAUGAGUUCUCCCUGACUCCUUGAGAGUCCUGAAGGAACGUUGAAGACGACGACGUUGAUAGGCCGGGUGUGUAAGCGCAGCGAUGCGUUGAGCUAACCGGUACUAAUGAACCGUGAGGCUUAACCUUACAACGCCGAAGCUGUU
rnacentral:rRNA from 1 species